rnacentral:rRNA from 1 species
AACGAGCGCUGGCGGCAUGCCUAACACAUGCAAGUCGAACGAGACCUUCGGGUCUAGUGGCGCACGGGUGCGUAACGCGUGGGAACCUGCCCUUAGGUUCGGAAUAACUCCCCGAAAGGGGUGCUAAUACCGGAUGAUGUCUUCGGACCAAAGAUUUAUCGCCUUUGGAUGGGCCCGCGUUGGAUUAGCUAGUUGGUAGGGUAAAAGCCUACCAAGGCGACGAUCCAUAGCUGGUCUGAGAGGAUGAUCAGCCACACUGGGACUGAGACACGGCCCAGACUCCUACGGGAGGCAGCAGUGGGGAAUAUUGGACAAUGGGCGAAAGCCUGAUCCAGCAAUGCCGCGUGAGUGAUGAAGGCCUUAGGGUUGUAAAGCUCUUUUACCCGGGAUGAUAAUGACAGUACCGGGAGAAUAAGCUCCGGCUAACUCCGUG